rnacentral:rRNA from 1 species
CGAACGCUUCUUUUUCCACCGGAGCUUGCUCCACCGGAAAAAGAGGAGUGGCGAACGGGUGAGUAACACGUGGGUAACCUGCCCAUCAGAAGGGGAUAACACUUGGAAACAGGUGCUAAUACCGUAUAACAAUCGAAACCGCAUGGUUUUGAUUUGAAAGGCGCUUUCGGGUGUCGCUGAUGGAUGGACCCGCGGUGCAUUAGCUAGUUGGUGAGGUAACGGCUCACCAAGGCGACGAUGCAUAGCCGACCUGAGAGGGUGAUCGGCCACAUUGGGACUGAGACACGGCCCAAACUCCUACGGGAGGCAGCAGUAGGGAAUCUUCGGCAAUGGACGAAAGUCUGACCGAGCAACGCCGCGUGAGUGAAGAAGGUUUUCGGAUCGUAAAACUCUGUUGUUAGAGAAGAACAAGGAUGAGAGUAACUGUUCAUCCCUUGACGGUAUCUAACCAGAAAGCCACGGCUAACUACNUGCCA